rnacentral:hammerhead_ribozyme from 1 species
AUCCAGGUGACGAGUCCUAAAUAGGACGAAAUGCGCCUUGUCCUGGAU